CACGUAGGGUGCGAGCGUUGUCCGGAAUUAUUGGGCGUAAAGAGCUCGUAGGCGGUGUGUCGCGUCGGCCGUGAAAACCUGCAGCUUAACUGUGGGCUUGCGGUCGAUACGGGCAUCACUGGAGUUCGGCAGGGGAGACUGGAAUUCCUGGUGUAGCGGUGAAAUGCGCAGAUAUCAGGAGGAACACCGGUGGCGAAGGCGGGGUCUCUGGGGCAAACUACUGACGCUGGAGGAGCGAAAGCGUGGGGAGCGAACAGG
rnacentral:rRNA from 1 species